ensembl:ncRNA C46G7.109 ncRNA
UCCAAACGUAUUGAUUUAUGUAAAUUCUAAUAUUAUUUUCUAUAAUACCUGUAUUCUGAAAAUUGUUCAUUGUGAACAGUUUAAUAGGGGUGGAUUUACUUGUUACAACUCUCAGUGACUGUUUCAUAUAUUUGCCUUAAGUCUUGAAA